CUGUGCGCCCGUCCCUCUUCCAGAGUGGAGUCCAGUGGGGACCUGGGGCUGCAAAGGCAUGAGAGACCGACCUUCCAAGCUUCCUCCUAACUCUCUACCCGCCAGUGUCAACAGCAGCAGCAACAACAAAACAGAACAGAACGAAAACACCAGGGCAGAGCAGCGCAAAGACCUCAGCCCUCCGGGUCUCCCAAUUGUGUGACAGACUCAGUCACCCAGCAGAAAAAAAAGAAAGAGUCCGGAAUAAGGCAGCCCAGAGCUGAUCUGAGAGCUCCCAGGAUCCUUUUUGCCUCUGUUCCACCAUCCUCAGCACGUGGCUUCCAUCCACACCAUGGCUUCACAGUGGCUGCUGGAGCUCCAGUCAUCAUGUUUAUAUUCCAAGCAGGAGAAAAGAGAAACAGCCAAAGAGUUUCCACUUAAUUGACUAUAUCUAAUGGCAAAGGAGACUGGAAACUAGUUUAUCACCUGGGCAUGUUGUCCAAGGUCCUGACACUAAGGAAGAAAAUAAUGGAUAUCGGGAAGGCAACUGAGAGUGUUUGCCACAGAGGCAAUCAGAGUGGUGGGGAGGAGUGGAAACACUGGGCCCAGAUGCCAUCCUUUGCUCCACUAAUCACCAGGCGGGAGAGUUUGGAUGAGUUACUUAAUUUCUCUGUUCUUCUACGUCCUCAUCUUUAUACUUGCAGUAACCACAGUACUGACCUCACAGUCAGCAAUACUAUUAUUGGUUGAUUAUUAGAUGGAUUAUAUAGGAAGCUACAGUGUUCCGGUGCAUGGUAAGUGCUUGGUAAAUGCUAGUUUUUGUCAUUCCUCUGCCUAUAGUGGCAUUAUUGAUGCCCUCAACUGUUACCCUGCCUGGUACACACCCUUGCCCAAAGGCAGAAUUGCAUUUGGGCUCAGCUAAGGGAGUAGGGAAGAAAGGUUACAGUGCAUCUCUUUAAUUUCCCACUCCCAGGGCCCAAAGGACUCAAGUCACUUUGGAAUGUCCCUUCCUUGUCCUCUCCCUUUUCCCACUAGAAGGACAAGGAGCAGAGAACACAGAGGAGGUGAUGCAGAAUGAUGUCUCCAUGUCCUUUCUAUCCAUCCCAAGCCCCAAGUUCGUAUUGAAAAUGCCAGGCCGGGUGUGAUGGCUCAAACCUGUAAUCUCAGCUGAGGUGGGAGGAUUGCUUGGGCCCAGGAGUUUGAGACCAGCCUGGGCAAUAUAGUGAGACCCCAUCUCUUAAAAAAAAAAAAAAGAAAGAAAGAAACAUGCCAGCCCUCUUACUGUAGUCAUUGCCAAGGAUAACUGUGCAUAACCCUGGUCCAGGGGCUUGGGGAAUCCACUUGGCCCUUGCCCCAGGGAAUUUACAGUCUAGAACAGGGAUCGGCAAACUAUAGCCUGCUGGCAAAAUCUAGCCUGACAGCUAUUUUUGUAGAUAAAGUUUUAGUGGAAAAUGGUCACAUUCAACUGUUUAUAUAUUGUCUAUGGCUGCUGUUACAUUACAACAGCAGAGUUUUGUACUGCAGUAGACAUGGCCCACAAAGCCAAAAUUCUUACUCUCUGGCUCUUCACGAAGAAAGUCUGCCAAUUUCUGUUCUAGAAGGAGAAAAAGAACACACGUUUAAAAAUAUCAACAGGGGAACAUAAUCAAACAGUAGAUUGGAUGACAUAUGUAAAGGUAAAGUGAAGAGCCUGGAAGAACUGAAAGCGACAGCUAGCAGCGCGUAUGUACAGAGAGAAGAGGAGUGGAACAGAAUGAGGAUAUGGGCAAAGCUAACCUUGGCCUGAUCUGUUAUGCUUUGUUUUAUAAGGAUAGUAGACUUAGGUAGUUAAAAACUAAUUUUUAAAAGAGUAUAUUGAUUGCUGGAAAGACUGUGACAUGUUUAACACUCUUAUAGAUUCCUAAUAAAGUAUAAAUUAAUAUAACCCUUUUGGAAAGUAAUUUGGAAAAAUGUAUUGAGAGCCUUAAACAUGUUCCUACUCCUGGCCUCAUAAUUUCACUUCUGGGAAUCCAUCCUAACGUUAUAAACUAAAAUGUCAAAAAUCUUUAUGCACAAAUAUAUCAAUUGUGAUAUGACUGCUAGUAGCAAAAAGCUAGAACCACUUAGAUGGUUAGUUACAUAGAAGUUAAAUAAAUUAUGAGGCCAUGUACAGUGGCUCAUGCCUAUAAUCCCAGCACUUUUGGAGGCCAAAGCGGGUGGAUUGCUUAAGACCAGGAGUUCGAGACCAGCCUGGCCAACAUGGCAAAACUCCAUCUCUACAAAAAAAAAAAAAAAAAAUCAACCGGGCAUCAGCCGGGCAUGGUAGCACAUGCCUGUAAGUCCCAGUCACUCAGGAGGUUGAGAUAGGAGGAUGAUUGAGCCCAGGAGGUGGAGAUUGUAAUGAGCUGAGUUUGCCCCACUGCACUCCAGCAUGAGCUACUCAGGAGGCUGAGGUGGGAGGAUGAUUGAGCCCAGGAGGUGGAGAUUAUAGUGAGCCGAGUUUGCCCCACUGCACUCCAGCAUGGGCAACAGAGUGAGACCCUAUCUCAAAAAAUGAAAUAAAAUAAAAAGAAAUUAUGAUACUUCCAUAUGAUAUAUAGUGACUAAAAUGAUGUUCACAAAGAAUUUAUAAAUAAUUUGGGGAAAUGCUAAGUGAAUAAAUAGGAUACAAAAUCAUAUGUAGUUUCAUCAGAGUUGUAUUAAAAAGAAAUAUUACAACCAGAGGAUACCCAAAUGUCACAAAAGUUAUCUUCAGAGGAGUGUAUGAUUUAUGUUUUUCUUUGUUAUAUUCAUAUAUAUUUUUUGUUCUAGAACAUCUUGGUUUUAUUUUCAUGAGGGGGAACCUGCAUAUCAUCUUGAAUUCUAGGGGUUUUCAAAGAGUGCUGUCAUGAACUGAACGUUCCUAUGUUGAAAUCCUAACCUCCAGUGUGAUGGUAGCAGGAGGUGGGGCAUUUGGGAGGUGCUGAGGUCAUGAGGGUAGAGCUCUCAUGAAUGGGAUUAGUGCCCUUAGAAAAGAGGCCCCAGAGAGUUCCAUCAUCUUUUCUCCACAUGAGGACUCAGUGAGAACAUAGCCAUCUCUCAACCAGGAAGCAGACCUUCAUGAGGCACCAAAUCUGCCAGGGCCUUGACCUUGAACUUCCCGGCCUCCAGAACUGUGAGAAAUAAAUUUCUGUUGUUUAUAAACCACCCAAUCUAAGGUAUAGCAGCCCAAACAGACUAAGACAGGUGCCAAGUUGAUCAGAGAUUCCGUGAAAACAGAAAAGAGAAGGUGGGUGUUAAUCACCUCAUUUCUAUAGGGUCAGGAAAGCAAAUAGAGGGAAAGGAGAGAUUUACACUCCAUUCCACCAAACUGACAGGCCAGAAGCAUGCUCUGUGGACACAGCCCCACCGCAUGCUCCUUCACCGUGCUCCAUCCUCCACUGCUGAGAGCCUGGUGGGUAGGGGCUUAAAGGGCCAGCCUCUCCCCACUCCACAGAGUGAGGUUUCAGCUUCUUCCAGGAGCAGGGGUCCAGCUCUUCAAGAGAGAGGGAGAGGAGAGAGGGUCAAGGAUGAACAGGGUCCAGGCUCGGUGACUUAUGCCUGUAAUCCCAGCACUUUGGGGGGCUGAGGUGGGCAGAUCACUUGAGGUCAGGAGUUUGAGACCAGCCUGGCCAAUAUGGUGAAACCCUGCCUCUACUAAAAAUACUAAAAAUGCAAAAAUUAGCUGGGUGUGGUGGUGGGCACCUGUAAUUCCAGCUACUCGGGAUGUUGAGGCAGGAGAAUCACUUGAACCCGGAAGGCAGAUGUUGCAGUGAACCAAGAUAGUGCCACUGUACUCCAGCCUUGUGAGACUCUGUCAAAAUAAAUAAAUAAAUAAAAAGCUGAACGGGGGAGGGGGGCAUCCAUUUUCUCUCAAGGGACUUUUGAGUCACUGGGAUCCCUGCCUCCUGAAAAUUUUCCUCUGGUUCAGACCUUCAGUUCAAUUCUGAAAUCUGCAGCAACCCUAUUUGUUUGGGCUUCUCUUCCCUUAUCCUAAAAAAAAGACAAGAAAUAAUAUCAAAGCUGGGUCCUCAAUCCAUGCAGUAUGUUAGGAAGGCUCCAAGAGAUGAGGUCUGCUUGAAGGCGGGAAAUUUGGCAUCUAUAUGGGAAACCCUUUGGAAAACAGCUACAGACCCUUCUGCAAAUCUCAGCCCCUCGGCUUUGGGGUAUGAAAGAACAGGCCUUGAAUUCUAGCUUCGCCAUGCCUGACCUGGAUGUGUGACCUCAGGAAAGAUACCUACAUUCUCUGAGCCCCAUUUGAUUCAUUUGUAGGUUAGGGUAGGGGAUGGCCAUCCAAUAAGUGUUGCUAAAAAAUACCAGAAAUAAUUUUUGUAAUGUACACUGUGCAAUAAUUGGCACAUUAUAGGUUCUCAUAAAAGGCAUUUUUACUUAUCAAAUUACAUUUUCUGAGCACCCUGAUGACGGGAGGGCAGUAAACUGGAAUCAGGCACUAAUCUAGAAAGGAUGGUUAGUCUGUAUGUUUUCCAAAGCAAAAAGAAUCAUGAGUUCUAUUUAUAGGCUCUGAUGCAUUCAGCCUUCAAGAAGCAACUCAAACCCAGGCCUCCAUCCCAUCAGCACCAUCCCUGCCCCCUGCCCCAGUCCAGUGUUCCUGACCACAAAAGCCUGAAGCACGCCCUCUCUCCCCUAGACAAGGGGAGCAAUCACUGUCAGAACCACUCACUUGAUAAUUAAUCACAAAGGGACCUGUGACAUCUCUUCUUCUGUAGUCGAAACUGAUAUGUUCACUGUUCCCAGAUACUGAACUCCCCACGUAUUUGGAUCUCGUCUCUUCAACUAGAUUACAAGUCCCUUGAGGGUGAGGUGCUUCCUUUACUUUUCGCAUUCGAUAGGAGAUUGAUACUUGUCGCACUUUGAAUUUUUGUGUUUGUUUAGAUCUAGUCCACAGGAAGUACAGCUACACUUGGCAGGCGC
rnacentral:lncRNA from 1 species